rnacentral:rRNA from 1 species
UUGCAUGGCUGUCGUCAGCUCGUGUCGGUGAGAUGUUCGGUUAAGUCCGCUAACGAGCGCAACCCUCGCUGUAUGUUACAUGUGUCAUACAGGACCGCCGGUAUCAAGCCGGAGGAAGGUGGGGAUGACGUCAAGUCCGCAUGGCCUUUAUGUCCGGGGCGUACACACACGCUACAAUGGUCGGUACAAUGGGUUGCUAAGCCGCGAGGUGGAGCCAAUCCCCCAAAGCCGGCCUCAGUUCAGAUUGCAGGCUGCAACUCGCCUGCAUGAAGCUGGAGGUUGCUAGUAAACGCGCGUCAGCUAUAGUGCGUUGAAUACGUUCUCGGGCCUU